UACGGAGGGUGCGAGCGUUGUCCGGAAUCAUUGGGCGUAAAGGGCGCGUAGGUGGCCUGCUAAGCGUGCGGUGAAAGCUCGGGGCUCAACCCCGAGUCGGCCGUGCGAACUGGUGGGCUUGAGCACUGUAGAGGCAGGCGGAAUUCCGGGUGUAGCGGUGGAAUGCGUAGAGAUCCGGAAGAACACCGGUGGCGAAGGCGGCCGUGCUGGGCAGUGAGCUGGACACUGAGGCGCGACAGCGUGGGGAGCAAACAGG
rnacentral:rRNA from 1 species